CUUUGUGCGCACGCAUGCGUGUGUGUGCUCAUUUCAUGCUCAUCGUCAUCCUGCUUGUGCUCUGCUACCUGGGCUGUUUUGAAGUCUCCAUCUGCUCACAUGGAGUCAAAGGUACUGUGAACAGGUCCAAGCCAAGAUCUUUCACAAGAGACCCUGAGGACCACAUUCCAGGGAUGAUGGAUUUUUGUGGAAAAGAGUAGGAAAUGAGCCAUCUCAUUUGCCAAAAUGAAGAAGUUGUAAUGUAGCCCUGAGAGUUCCGC